rnacentral:rRNA from 1 species
GAUGAACGCUAGCUACAGGCUUAACACAUGCAAGUCGAGGGGCAGCGCAGUGUAGCAAUACAUGGGCGGCGACCGGCGCACGGGUGCGUAACGCGUAUCCAACCUUCCCGUUACUCAGGGAUAGCCUUCCGAAAGGGAGAUUAAUACCUGAUGGUGUUCAAAUUCCGCAUGUUAUUUGAACUAAAGAUUCAUCGGUAACGGAUGGGGAUGCGUGACAUUAGAUAGUAGGCGGGGUAACGGCGCACCUAGUCUAGGAUGUCUAGGGGUUCUGAGGGGAAGGUACCCCACACGGGAACUGGACCACGGUACAGACUCCUACGGGAGGAAGCAGUGAGGAAUAUUGGUCAAUGGUCGGAAGACUGAACCAGCCAAGUAGCGUGAAGGAUGAAGGUUCUAUGGAUUGUAAACUUCUUUUGUCGUGGAACAAAACCUGCCACGUGUGGCAGUUUGCGUGUACACGUUGAAUAAGCAUCGGCUAACUCCGUGCCAGCAGCCGCCGUAACAC